rfam:Schistosoma rodhaini strain Burundi genome assembly, scaffold: SROB_scaffold0007917
AUCCAACUGACGAGUCAGAAAUAGGACGAAACGUGCGUCAUCGAU